UGGGGAAUAUUGCACAAUGGGCGCAAGCCUGAUGCAGCCAUGCCGCGUGUGUGAAGAAGGCCUUCGGGUUGUAAAGCACUUUCAGCGAGGAGGAAGGCGGUGAACUUAAUACGUUCAUCAAUUGACGUUACUCGCAGAAGAAGCACCGGCUAACUCCGUGCCAGCAGCCGCGGUAAUACGGAGGGUGCAAGCGUUAAUCGGAAUUACUGGGCGUAAAGCGCACGCAGGCGGUUUGUUAAGUCAGAUGUGAAAUCCCCGGGCUCAACCUGGGAACUGCAUUUGAAACUGGCAAGCUAGAGUCUCGUAGAGGGGGGUAGAAUUCCAGGUGUAGCGGUGAAAUGCGGUAGAGAUCUGGAGGAAUACCGGUGGCGAAGGCGGCCCCCUGGACGAAGACUGACGCUCAGGCUGCGAAAGCGUGGGGAGCAAACNGGAUUAGAUACCCUGGUAGUCCACGCUGUAAAACGAUGUCGAUUUUGGNGGUUAGUGCCCUUGAGGCGUGGCUUCCGGAGCUAACGCGUU
rnacentral:rRNA from 1 species